UACGUAGGGCGCAAGCGUUGUCCGGAAUUAUUGGGCGUAAAGAGCUCGUAGGCGGCUUGUCACGUCGAUUGUGAAAGCCCGAGGCUUAACCUCGGGUCUGCAGUCGAUACGGGCUAGCUAGAGUGUGGUAGGGGAGAUCGGAAUUCCUGGUGUAGCGGUGAAAUGCGCAGAUAUCAGGAGGAACACCGGUGGCGAAGGCGGGUCUCUGGGCCGAUACUGACGCUGAGGAGCGAAAGCGUGGGGGAGCGAACAGG
rnacentral:rRNA from 1 species